rnacentral:rRNA from 1 species
CUGGUUGAUCCUGCCAGUAGUCAUAUGCUUGUCUCAAAGAUUAAGCCAUGCAAGUCUAAGUAUAAGCAUUUAUACUGUGAAACUGCGGAAAGCUCAUUACAUCAGUUAUAGUUUAUUUGAUGGUAAACCCACUACAUGGAUAACCGUAGUAAUUCUAGAGCUGAUACAUGCCCAGAAACGGUGACUUCGGAAGCCGUGGACUUAUUAGAUCAAGAGCCAACCCUCUUCGGAGGACUAAGCUGAAUCAUAGUAAUUUUGUUAAUCGCAUGGUCUUGUACCGGCGAUGGGUCAUUCAAAUUUCUGCCCUAUCAGCUGUGAUGUUAGUGUAGUGGACUAACAUGGCAUAAACGGGUGACGGAGGAUUAGGGUCUGAUUCCGGAGAGGGAGCCUGAGAAAUGGCUACCACUUCCAAGGAAGGCAGCAGGCGCGUAAAUUACCCAAUCCCGACACGGGGAGGUAGUGACAAGAAAUAACAAUACCGGAUCUUUUUAGAUCUGGUAAUUGGAAUGAGUACAACUUAAAAUCCUUAACAAGGAACAAUUGGAGGGCAAGUCUGGU